rnacentral:misc_RNA from 1 species
GAUGAAGAACGUAGCGAAAUGCGAUAAGUAAUGUGAAUUGCAGAAUUCAGUGAAUCAUCGAAUCUUUGAACGCACAUUGCGCCCGCUAGUAUUCUGGCGGGCAUGCCUGUCCGAGCGUCAUUUCAACCCUCAAGCCCCCGGGCUUGGUGUUGGGGAUCGGCGAGCCUCCGCGCCCGCCGUCCCCUAAAUCUAGUGGCGGUCUCGCUGUAGCUUCCUCUACGUAGUAGCACACCUCGCACUGGGAAACAGCGCGGCCACGCCGUUAAACCCCCAACUUCUGAACGUUUGACCUCGGAUCAGGUAGGAAUACCCGCUGAACUUAAGCAUAUCAAUAAGCGGAGGA